rnacentral:rRNA from 1 species
UACGUAGGGUGCAAGCGUUAAUCGGAAUUACUGGGCGUAAAGCGUGCGCAGGCGGUUUUGUAAGUCUGACGUGAAAUCCCCGGGCUUAACCUGGGAAUUGCGUUGGAGACUGCAAGGCUGGAGUCUGGCAGAGGGGGGUAGAAUUCCACGUGUAGCAGUGAAAUGCGUAGAGAUGUGGAGGAACACCGAUGGCGAAGGCAGCACCCUGGGUCAAGACUGACGCUCAUGCACGAAAGCGUGGGGAGCAAACAGG